ACUCUGUAGCCGCUGGUCAUGGUUUUGUGAGAUCGUGUGCUUUGCGCGCAUCUCUCCUUCCCAUAUAAUCCCCUUUCCUAGUUCUAGUUUCUUCUACCAUCCCCUUUUAGCUUUUACCCAAAUAUCUUCUCGCCUGCCAGAUUCCCCCACCAAUGCCAUUCUCCUCUCGGUUCCCAGUUUUGGCAAAGACUUUGCUGCAGAAACACCAUUCGAUUUCUCUAUACGGUUUGGCCAAAGUCUCAUCAACCUGGCGUACUCUGUCUUGAGGAGAGGAAGUUUAGGUGAAGAUUCUGGAGAGAAGCAGCAGAAUCUAACACUCUGGCCAAUAAUACUCCAGUGAAGUCCUUUUCCCAUUUGGUAUGGGCAACGGCAGAGGCGAGAAGAAGAACAAGCCUUGGAAUUGCAUUAUAUUAUUAUUUUCCUGCGUCUUCAUUGUUCUUGAAUUGGGCAUUGCUUUGGCGCCUGCCUAUUGAUUACGGCUAAUAUUCCACCCAAUGUAGAAAGUUCUUUUUUUUUUUUUAUCAAACACCCAUUCUUUUGUAGUCCACUUGAAGCUCAGUUUUCCAGAUGUAAAUUGAACGGUUUCAAAGCGUGAAAUAGAGGAAAAGAAACUGCAAAAGAAAUGGCAAAUUGUAGCUGCUUUGGUGGUCUUGUAGGAAGAAACAAGUAGUAUAAG